AUGCAAUUUAGCAUGUCUUAAAAAAUUGUCUUAAAGACAAAUUGUACAGCAUGAUUUACUAAUGUUCAAUGCAUGAUGAAUUUGGCUCCAAAAGUGGUAUUCCUAUUCGUUUUGAAAUAUUUUGAAAAAAUUAUGGAAAGUAGACAGGUANAUUCCUAUUCUUUUGAAAUAUUUUGAAAAAAUUAUGGAAAGUAGACAGGUAAACAAAAGGAGCUGGAAAGGCAAAUAAAAAAAGCUGGACUUUCACUCUUCAUAUUAAGUAGGCGGAAUCUCAACCAUUAGACGAAUUAGAUGAUUUUUUAAUGCUCAAAAUUGAAUGUAUUU
rnacentral:lncRNA from 1 species